rnacentral:tRNA from 1 species
GGAAAUGUGGUUUAGCAGUAGAAUGCUUGCCUAGUAUGCAUGAAGCUCUGGGUUCAAUUCCUCAGUACCA